rnacentral:rRNA from 1 species
AGAGUUUGAUCCUGGCUCAGAAUGAACGCUGGCGGCGUGCCUAACACAUGCAAGUCGGAUGUGCCUUUCGGGGUGCAUGGCAGACGGGUGAGUAACGCGUAGGGAAUCUACCUUUUCGUGGGGAAUAACGUUCCGAAAGGAAUGGUAAUACCGCAUAAGACCAAUGGCUGGGAUGCUGUUGGUGAAAGCCGGGGACCUUCGGGCCUGGCGCGAGAAGAGGAUCCUGCGUCUGAUUAGCUAGUUGGUGGGGUAACGGCCUACCAAGGCGACGAUCAGUAGCCGGCCUGAGAGGGUGAUCGGCCACACUGGAACUGAGACACGGUCCAGACUCCUACGGGAGGCAGCAGUGGGGAAUUUUGCGCAAUGGACGAAAGUCUGACGCAGCAACGCCGCGUGGGUGACGAAGGUCUUCGGAUCGUAAAACCCUGUCGUCAGGGACGAAGGUAGGGAGUUUAAUACGCUCUUUGCUUGACGGUACCUGGAGAGGAAGCCCCGGCUAACUCUGUGCCAGCAGCCGCGGUAAUACAGAGGGGGCAAGCGUUAUUCGGAAUUAUUGGGCGUAAAGGGCGCGUAGGCGGUUCUGUAAGUAGGAUGUGCAAUCCCCGAGCUCAACUUGGGAACUGCAUCCUAGACUGCAAGACUAGAGUGCUGGAGAGGGUGGUAGAAUUCCACGUGUAGCGGUGAAAUGCGUAGAGAUGUGGAGGAAUACCAGUGGCGAAGGCGGCCACCUGGACAGUAACUGACGCUGAGGCGCGAAAGUGUGGGUAGCAAACAGGAUUAGAUACCCUGGUAGUCCACGCUGUAAACGAUGAACACUUGGUGUGGCGGGAGUUGACCCCUGCCGUGCCGGAGCUAACGCGUUAAGUGUUCCGCCUGGGGAGUACGGUCGCAAGGCUGAAACUCAAAGGAAUUGACGG